rnacentral:rRNA from 1 species
GACGAACGCUGGCGGCAUGCCUAAUACAUGCAAGUCGAGCGAACAGAUGAAGUGCUUGCACUUCUGACGUUAGCGGCGAACGGGUGAGUAACACGUAAGGAAUCUACCUAUAAGCGGGGGAUAACAUUCGGAAACGGGUGCUAAUACCGCAUAAUAUCUUCUUCCGCAUGGGAGAAGAUUGAAAGACGGCUCUGCUGUCACUUAUAGAUGACCUUGCGGUGCAUUAGUUAGUUGGUGGGGUAAUGGCCUACCAAGACGAUGAUGCAUAGCCGACCUGAGAGGGUGAUCGGCAACAUUGGGACUGAGACACAGCCCAAACUCCUACGGGAGGCAGCAGUAGGGAAUCUUCCGCAAUGGGCGAAAGCCUGACGGAGCAAUGCCGCGUGAGUGAAGAAGGCCUUCGGGUCGUAAAACUCUGUUAUAAGAGAAGAACAAAUUGUAGAGUAACUGCUACAGUCUUGACGGUAUCUUAUCAGAAAGCCACGGCUAACUACGUGCCAGCCGCCGCAGUAA